GCAGAUGUAGCUCAGCGAUAGAGUGUGACCUUGCCAAGGUUGAUGUCAUGGGUUUGAAUCCCAUUAUCUGCU
rnacentral:tRNA from 2 species